rnacentral:lncRNA from 1 species
ACAGAUGCAAACCUGCUGCGAAAGGGCAAGAAGCCUGCUGGCCCCUCGAAGCGUCCAAUUGUGGCGAGGUGGCCUCCGGCUCUGAAGCAAACUACAAUUUCUACCAAGGUGGUCAUCUCAAAGAAGAUGCCUGCGCCAUCAGAGGGUAAUCUUACCCCGGCCACAUCGCUAGUAGCUACUCUGCCCAUUGUCCUAGUGCCAGGUAGCUAAAGGGAAAAAGGGC